GCCCGAGCGGCGGGGGAGCGGGCGGCGAUGGACACGGAGGCGGCGGCCGAAGCGGAGGGGCCCUUCUGCCUGCAGCAGGUUACCAUAACAGAAGACUCUGAAGAUGAUUAUCAAUAUGAAGAGGUUCCAGCAGAUGAUGACUCUAGUCUCCUAGAAGGUGAUGAAGAUCUGGCAAAGGCUUUACAGACCAUACAGGAGCAAUCUGAGGAUGCUCAAAUUAUAGUAAGCUUCCCAAAGGUUUAUAUUUAGUAAGAAUCAAUUGGUAAUAAAAAUGAUUUUAAAUUGGCUUAAAAUGUUGAC
rnacentral:lncRNA from 1 species